UACGUAGGGUGCGAGCGUUGUCCGGAAUUAUUGGGCGUAAAGAGCUUGUAGGCGGUCUGUCGCGUCUGCUGUGAAAAUCCGGGGCUCAACCCCGGACUUGCAGUGGGUACGGGCAGACUAGAGUGUGGUAGGGGAGACUGGAAUUCCUGGUGUAGCGGUGAAAUGCGUAGAUAUCUGGAGGAAUACCGGUGGCGAAGGCGGCGUUCUGGACUGCAACUGACACUGAUGAACGAAAGCCAGGGGAGCAAAACGGG
rnacentral:rRNA from 1 species